CGUUAAGCAUCCACCAAGGUCAUAACCCUCCGAUGUCUGAGGACACGACCGCAAGCUACAGACUUUGAGGCCAGAGAAUUUAAAAGAUUACCAGAAGAACUAAUUAGAAGAAUUCUCUUUAAGCUCUCCCAGCCUGUUUCACUCAGGUUAAUGGAGAAGGCAUAGCUUGGGUUCUGGACAAUGGGAGGAAGUCCGGAGCUUCUCGGCAUGACACCAUUCAAGUGAGCCGCGUCUGAGUAAACAACUGAUUUCACUAAUCUCUGAGGCCUCUCUCUGGUGUCUUAUAAGCACAAGCUUAAACACAGAAUUGGAGUCUUCAGCUGAGCUCCCUUAUGAAAUGUGAUGCUUGCUGUAGGCCUGGAAGGAGCAUGGAACUGACCCAGCCUUCAUGGACAUCACCUGGGGAAGCCACUCCUAUGGAAAGGCAGCUGAUUCUCCCCACCAGCUGCGUUGUACGCAGGCAAGCCAGCCAGCCUAGCUGAAGCAGCAAAGCACCCCAAGGGAGAGACAGGGGCAGUAUGUGCCAGGAGGAAGGCAAAGACCUUUUUACAUCAUUGGACUCCUUUGGUAGUAUGAUGAAGUAUCUGGAUCUCUUCUCCGAAUAAUGUUGGAUGUCAACAUUUAUAAUUAAAGGAAAUACUUAAUUUCAGUUGGAGAUUGGUGAAAAUAUUUUUCUACCCAAAUUCAUAGGCCCCCUAAAACCUAGACAUGUUCCCCUUUGUUCCCCUGCUAUAAAUGGAUUGCUUUAUGGGAGGGAAAAAGAAUACAAAAGGGGUAGAUAUGAUGUAAAAACUAAAUUAUCAAUAAAAAUGUGCUUUAAAAGAACUAGCACUUUUUCAACAUCAAACGGGGUAGUCACGAUAGAGCUCAGGAUUUGAAGUCACAAGACCCACGUUUGAAUUUUGCCUCUGCUAAGUCCUUCAUGUGUGACUUCCAGCAAGUCAUUUCCCCUCUCUGGAUCCCAAGGAUGGGGUUGGACUAGAUGACUUCUAAAACAGGUUCCCUCCUUCUGGAGCCCAGACUGUGAAACAAAUGAAGGAGCCAGGGGUUGUACUAGAUGACCUUUAAGGUCUCUUCUAACUGUAAGUCUAUGCACACAUGAACAUGAUCCUGUGUGUGCUGUGUGGCCAGGAAAAACAAAACGAAGAACAACUCUUUUCUAUGGUCCUAUAGGCUGUCAAUGUUUUUUCAUGAUGUCAUUACUUUGUUCUCUACUGAACUCGGUCCCUUCUGGGCUCUCCACCAGGUGUUGAUCUUUCCUGCCCCCCAGCCUCAGCAGACCACACCUCUCUUCUUCAGUUGAUCUUUAUCUACCUUACUAACUUCAGUGCCCUGGGAAACUCUGCCCAUCCACUGGGGGUGCUGCUGUGCUUAGUAAGCCUCUCCCCUCCAUAGAAGCAAGUAGUUCUUUCAGCCAGUGGCCAGAAGCAUUUUCUCUUAUUAUGCUAUACCAUAAAAUGUUGUAGACAUGCAGCCUGAGAUCGUGUAUGCUUUCUGAGUUCCUCUCUCCUCUACUGCUGCUAUGACUCACUCGGUUCAACGUUCAUCAGGAAAUGGACCCCUGAAUGAGUAUCACACUGAACAGAGAAGAAAAACUCCAGGAAAUAACAGCCCAAUCUGAAACUUUUCAACUAAAACCAGAGCUCUGGACAUUCUUCUGCCAUUCAGAACCUAGGCAGCCAAUCAUAAUGAAUCCUGUAACAAAGGGGCUAGUGGGUGAGGCCAAUAUUACCUGACAU